AUUAUUCAUUUAUGCAUAUUUAUUUUUACUAGUUAUGUUUCAUUUAUUUCUUUAAAGUUUUAUUCUUGCUUAUUUAUUCGCUUUUUCUUUGUAUUAUAUGCAAGUUUUGUUAAACUAAAUG
rnacentral:rRNA from 1 species